rnacentral:rRNA from 1 species
AACGAACGCUGGCGGCAUGCCUAACACAUGCAAGUCGAACGAACCCUUCGGGGUUAGUGGCGCACGGGUGCGUAACGCGUGGGAAUCUGCCCUUUGCUUCGGAAUAACUCAGGGAAACUUGUGCUAAUACCGGAUGAUCUCUUCGGACCAAAGAUUUAUCGGCAAGGGAUGAGCCCGCGUAGGAUUAGGUAGUUGGUGGGGUAAAGGCCUACCAAGCCGACGAUCCUUAGCUGGUCUGAGAGGAUGAUCAGCCACACUGGGACUGAGACACGGCCCAGACUCCUACGGGAGGCAGCAGUGGGGAAUAUUGGACAAUGGGCGCAAGCCUGAUCCAGCAAUGCCGCGUGAGUGAUGAAGGCCCUCGGGUCGUAAAGCUCUUUUACCAGGGAUGAUAAUGACAGUACCUGGAGAAUAAGCUCCGGCUAACGCCGUGC